rnacentral:rRNA from 1 species
CAGUAGCCGCGGGAAUACGUAGGGUGCAAGCGUUAAUCGGAAUUACUGGGCGUAAAGCGUGCGCAGGCGGUUUUGUAAGACAGAGGUGAAAUCCCCGGGCUCAACCUGGGAACUGCCUUUGUGACUGCAAGGCUAGAGUACGGCAGAGGGGGAUGGAAUUCCGCGUGUAGCAGUGAAAUGCGUAUAUAUGCGGAGGAACACCGAUGGCGAAGGCAAUCCCCUGGGCCUGUACUGACGCUCAUGCACGAAAGCGUGGGGAGCAAACAGGAUUAGAUACCCGAGUAGUCCCUGUCUCUUAUAC